UAAGACGGAGGGUGCUAGCGUUGUUCGGAAUGACUGGGCGUAAAGGGCGCGUAGGCGGCCCUGUGCGUCGGAUGUGAAAGCCCGGGGCUCAACCCCGGAACGGCAUCCGAUACGGCGGGGCUCGAGACCGGGAGAGGAGGGUGGAAUACCCAGUGUAGAGGUGAAAUUCGUAGAUAUUGGGUGGAACACCGGUGGCGAAAGCGGCUCUCUGGCCCGGUUCUGACGCUGAGGCGCGAAAGCGUGGGGAGCAAACAGGAUUAGAUACCCUGGUAGUCCACGCCCUAAACGAUGUGGGCUGGGCGUUGGGGGGCUUGCCCCUCGGUGCCGGAGCUAACGCGGUAAGCCCACCGCCUGGGGAGUACGGCCGCAAGGUUA
rnacentral:rRNA from 1 species